rnacentral:lncRNA from 1 species
GCACGCCAAGAAACGAUGUACGCUAAACGAUACGAUAUACGCUAAACGAAACGAUGUACGCUAAACGAUACGGUAUACGCUAAAUGAAACGAUUUACGCAAAACCAUAGGAUAUACGAUAAAAGGGCGCUUAUGUUAUCGUUUAUGGUAUGGUUUAUGGUACAUGGUUUCGUUCGUACAUCAUUCGUUCAGCGUCCGUACAACGUUCGGUCAGCGUUUCGUUUGCAUUCGUACACCGUUCGGGAAGCGUACGUACAUCGUUCGGGCAUCGUCCGUACAUGGUUCGGGCAUCGUUCGUAUUGUUAACUUUUACGUUACACGGACUGUAAGUCUGUGGCUGCUGUUUUUUUUUUUAAACUCAUGAACAAGUUCAUAACAAAAUUACUAGAUUACAAAAGGAAUGCAACACUAACAGAAUACAGAAGGGCAAUCAAUGAACAAUAGACAAAUAAAUAAGAAACAUUGAUCCCGAAAAAUCAGGGCUACGUCUGAGGGAAAACAGAAUUUGCUUCUUGCAAGGCACUUGCUGUGA